AAAUAUCAGCCGAAGGUGUUUGUUCGGCUCUCUCUUCUGGAAUGUUAGCCGAAGGUAUUUCUUCGGCUUUUGUUGCUGAAAUAUCAACCGAAGGUAUAUCCUCGGUUCUUUCCUCUGAAAUGUCGGGGAUAGAAACACUUCCAGUUCCUUUAGACUGCAGUCUUUUAGCAACUGACUUUCGCCGUUUUGGAUGUGGCAGAGGAGUAGAUUGUGCAGUUUCAAUCGGUCUUUUAUCUAAAGCUGGGACCGAUGAAGAAGUUGGAAUUGACUGUGUAUAAGAUGGAUAAAACUGAGGUAUGAGUUAUGUUUUGAGUUGAGAAGUAAAUCAAAAUAAAAACAAAGGUUAUUACCGAAGGAAAAGGCAAGGCCUAAGAGGUUUCCUCUGGUUCUUCUUUCGGCACAAGUGGAGGAGCGGGAUCAAUUGGAAAAAAGGUAUUGCUAUAUUUGAGAGAUAAAUAAGUAAAAAAUUAUUUUGAUAGAUUUUAAAAAUGAAAGAAAAAUGACUAUAAGCAAAGAGGUGUACCGAGUAGGAGAAUAGUCUGACGGAACGCCUGUAAUGCGGAUCGAUUGAAAAUACGAUCGGCAAAGUGAUCCCAGGUGAUGGUAUAUCGAAAG
rnacentral:lncRNA from 1 species